UACGAAGGUCCCAAGCGUUGUUCGGAAUCACUGGGCGUAAAGGGUGCGUAGGCGGCGUGGUAAGUCAGAUGUGAAAUCCCGGGGCUCAACCCCGGAACUGCAUCCGAUACUGCCAUGCUAGAGGACUGGAGAGGUGACUGGAAUUCUCGGUGUAGCAGUGAAAUGCGUGGAGAUCGAGAGGAACACUCGUGGCGUAAGCGAGUCACUGGACAGUAUCUGACGCUGAGGCACGAAGGCCAGGGUAGCGAAAGGG
rnacentral:rRNA from 1 species